rnacentral:tRNA from 1 species
GCGUCGUUAGCUCAGUUGGUAGAGCGUUAGCCUUUUAAUCUAGCAAGCAGAUUUGAGUCCUCCACGAGACU